rnacentral:rRNA from 1 species
GACGAACGCUGGCGGCGUGCUUAACACAUGCAAGUCGAACGGUGAAGCGCCUUCCUUUUUGGUGGGUGUGGAUGAGUGGCGAACGGGUGAGUAACACGUGAGUAACCUGCCCCCUUCUUCUGGAUAACCGCAUGAAAGUGUGGCUAAUACGGGAUAUUCUGGGUCUGUCGCAUGAUGGGUCUGGGAAAGAUAUUGUUUCGGUGGGGGAUGGGCUCGCGGCCUAUCAGCUUGUUGGUGGGGUGAUGGCCUACCAAGGCGGUGACGGGUAGCCGGCCUGAGAGGGUGGACGGUCACACUGGGACUGAGGCACGGCCCGGACUCCUACGGGAGGCAGCAGUGGGGAAUAUUGCACAAUGGGCGCAAGCCUGAUGCAGCGACGCCGCGUGAGGGAUGGAGGCCUUCGGGUUGUGAACCUCUUUCGCCAGUGAAGCAGGCCUGCCUCGUUUGUGGGUGGGUUGACGGUAGCUGGAUAAGAAGCGCCGGCUAACUACGUG